GACGAACCGCCCGAACGUUAUCCGGAAUGACUGGGCGUAAAGGGUGCGUAGGCGGUCUUAUAAGUCAGAUGUGAAAAUCCCGAGCUUAACUUGGGAACUGCAUUUGAAACUGUAUGACUUGAGUGCAGGAGAGGAAAGUGGAAUUCCUAGUGUAGCGGUGAAAUGCGUAGAUAUUAGGAGGAACACCAGUGGCGAAGGCGACUUUCUGGACUGUAACUGACGCUGAGGCACGAAAGCGUGGGGAGCGAACAGG
rnacentral:rRNA from 1 species